rnacentral:miRNA from 1 species
AUGCUCUUAUUCGAACCUAUAAGACCAUCAAAGUAGGUCCUAUCCUCCAGUUCAAAACUAAUCAUUGAGAAUUUAGUUUGUACUGGGCAUAGGUUACCUCUUUUGGUGUCUAAUGUC